GCCGCUGUAGCUCAGUUGGCAGAGCGCCCGCCUUGUAAGCGGAAGGUCAGGGGUUCGAGUCCCCUCAGCGGCU
rnacentral:tRNA from 4 species